UGAGUAACACGUAUCCAACCUGCCGUCUACUCUUGGCCAGCCUUCUGAAAGGAAGAUUAAUCCAGGAUGGCAUCAUGAGUUCACAUGUCCGCAUGAUUAAAGGUAUUUUCCGGUAGACGAUGGGGAUGCGUUCCAUUAGAUAGUAGGCGGGGUAACGGCCCACCUAGUCAAUGAUGGAUAGGGGUUCUGAGAGGAAGGUCCCCCACAUUGGAACUGAGACACGGUCCAA
rnacentral:rRNA from 1 species